rnacentral:rRNA from 1 species
CCUACGGGAGGCAGCAGUAGGGAAUAUUGCUCAAUGGGGGAAACCCUGAAGCAGCAACGCCGCGUGGAGGAUGAAGGUUUUCGGAUUGUAAACUCCUUUUGUUAGAGAAGAGAAUGACGGUAUCUAACGAAUAAGCACUGGCUAACCCCGUGCCAGCAGCCGCGGUAAUACGGAGGGUGCAAGCGUUACUCGGAAUCACUGGGCGUAAGGAGCGCGUAGGCGGGAUAGCAAGUCAGAUGUGAAAUCCUAUGGCUUAACCAUAGAACUGCAUUUGAAACUGUUAUUCUAGAGUAUGGGAGAGGUAGGUGGAAUUCUUGGUGUAGGGGUAAAAUCCGUAGAGAUCAAGAGGAAUACUCAUUGCGAAGGCGACCUGCUAGAACAUAACUGACGCUGAUGCGCGAAAGCGUGGGGAGCAAACAGGAUUAGAUACCCCAGUAGUC